rnacentral:sRNA from 1 species
AUCUUGACGAUAGCAUGCAAUACAAAUAAAGAACACUGACCACUUCGAUUUGACAUUCGUGAAUUGUCGCUUCACGCCUCCCUCGGGUGUUGGGAGGGAAAUCAUACCGUUUUGAAAUUCGCGUGGCUGCAAAUGGUUAAGCAACUGUUACUAGAAAUAUCUUUUCUUACUGUAGCCCUAAAAAACAAAGUUAACCUUUUCUAUAAAAGAAGAAAGAUGGCAAGAUAUCAUCUCUCACACCUCUACUUCUUCCUAUAAAGCACACACUACGUAUCCAACAACAUCGAAGAACUCGAUCAUUUCUGUUUUGGUAUGCAAUUAAUGAUUGUUCUUUUGGUCGGGUUUGUUGCUAUUUUUAAAAAACUCAUGGUUGAUUUAUCUCUAUUUAAUGCAACUCAUGUAGGUACCGACGGUGGUUAUAACCGAAAUAACCGACGAUCGUUAUGUCAGGACGGUGAGUGGUUCCUGGGCAAUCGGAGCUGAUGGAACAUGGUUAUUCAUAUCCAAUCACAAUAAUGCAGUGAGGAGGUUGAGCAUUCGGGAAGGGGAGAAGUUAGCAUUUGUGCGCCAGCUUGUUAGAGAAGCGUACGGAGAGGAAUACGUUGAAGGCCCGCUACACCUGACUUACCAAUGACCUGAUUGGAUGGACAUGGAAACUACCUUUGGUGGGCGCACAAAGCCAGUAACCAUAGCUUCAGAUGAGACAAUGGGAGUGUUUCUAGCUAUGCGUUUUGAGUUGGAGGACUUGAGUUUGUUUGUCUCCAAGCAAACGGUGGAUGGUGGUUCCGAAGAUGGUGGAACAAGUCAGACUUCAAGUUACGGAUUUGCAGAUAAAGGUAAAUCACCUUUAUACGUUAACGCUGAACGAUCACCUAACUACGAGUCCGUUGUGUGGAAAAGGCUUAUGCAUGACGAGGCGGUCCUCCGCUGGAUGCGUUCAACGGAAACAGAAGGUCAAAACGUUGGAGACUCUUCUACCAACGUACAGCAACACCCUGUGAGACCAGCUGUUAAGGCAGCUUCUCCGAUGUUAACGACUGAAAGUAUGGACACAGCGACUGAAGAUGGAGAUCAGGUAAAAUAUUCUGCGUUUAUUAAAUUCAGCCACUCGAAUAUACCAUUACACUACUAAGACAUCUAUUUACGCAGGAAGAAUACUCAACUGUUGUUGAGGCAGAUUUACUUAAAAAUCUGGGGUUACCGUCAAUUAAUUUAGCCACUGAAUCUUACGACUCUCUCAGUGAGGGGGAAGCGUACAACGACGAAAACGACUAUCCCGGGGGCGAGACAAUUAAGGAGUGCAAUUUUUUUGGGCCUUCCGCAACUAACUUGGUGGAACCUCUAGGUGUACACUUGGAUCUCGCGGUACCUUUGCAUGAGGCUCUUGAAGACAUGUGCCUUAACUUCGCAUCUUUCAACAGGGAUGCGGCGCCAACCCUAGACGAACAAGGGGAAGAAGGUACCAAUGACAUAGCAUGUUG